UAGAGUUUUAUGUUUUUAAAUUAUCUACUAUUUAGUUUUUUAAAACUAAAAAACAGCUAACAAAGUACAACUAAUCACAUUUUCAGAAACAUUUUCUGAAACAUGUUUCCAAACGAUGAAUUCAAAUUUUAAUGAAAAUACAAUUUUCAAAUCGCAACCAAUGGGGCCCUAACUUUCUGCUUUUGUUUUCGUGUAAAAAUGGCUCCCAUUUCAUCAAAAGAUGGUGUGAAAACGUUGAUCAAGAAAUCCGAGGCUAAGGUUGUUCCAUAUGAAGAAUGGGUAGUAGAUUAUAAAAAAUGCUUCUCGACAAUUUCAUCGCUUAAGCCUGAUGAAAUUGUAACAACUCACUUACAUAUAAUAUGCUUUCCCUUUUCACCUCUUCUCACCUAUUUUCUGGAUGUGGCUGGUAUUCAUAUCAUCCAAUUGCAUCCCAAUGUCAUUGAUUCUAUUGUUGUUGCUGAUGUUCUGGGGGUAAUGAAGAAGAAGAGGCUUCGAGUGUCUGACAUUUUUGGUUCCUUCACCAAAUCAAGGAACAACGCUUGUAUCCGUAAGGUUUGGUACCUUUCCCUUAAAAGGACCAAUUCAUGAUUACUAGUCAGGAAACUUCUAAUCACAAAUGAGAAGAUUUUGUUUUCGAUAUUGGAGGUAAUGGGUUUCUCGAAGUCGUUUGUGAUGACGUAUUCCCUGUUUUCCGUUAUUUUUCACUGUGUUCUAUUAUUUGCUUGACCUUGUCCUCUUUGUGAUCUUAUUCUCAUACUCUUGACUAGUGUUCUAAUCCCCCUAUCUUCACUUCAUUCAAGAAUCUCGUGGCCCGAAAAAUUUGACAUUAGUAAAUCUAGGGUCAAAUUACUACUUUGCUGGAUUUUCCAUGCCUGCAAGGACGAUGUUGUCCCAGUAAGGCUUUGCUCAAUUCGGAUAUGAUGUCAUGUCUUCCUUGGCUAUGCUGGAUUGAUGAUAUUGAUGAAUCUCCCAUCAAAUGGUCUGUUGAUGGUGAUGAAGGCAAGCAGGCUACUCUGGUCAAGGCGUGUCACACCUAUCUCUCCGAUUUUGAGAGGUGCCACACUCCUCUAGCUAUUUCUACUCUUCUCCCUGAUGAGAUUGAUAUACUAUCUCAGCUUGUACAUAAUGCUCUGAAAUAUUCAUCAUUCUAAAGCCUUUUGACCUCCUCAAGAGGUUCUCGACAAAGUUUUGUGGCCAAAAGUACUAGUACCUCCCCUUCCGACCCCUCAGUAAGUGAUCCCGAGGCAUCCAGCAUCCUACUAGAGGCUGGUCUUGCACUUGGCUCUGAAUUCAUUCCUGCUCAGCCCCUUAACAUUGUUGCCCCUGGUGCAGAUAACACCUCAUAUGAUGCCCCUAUUCCUGUUGAAAUCCUACCAUCCAACAUUACCUCUGUCUUUGAGGCUACCCAGAAUCAGCUAGUUCGAAAAAAGAAGGAACUUUUCGCCUCCUCCCAGUGCUCCUCAAAUGACUCUCUCAAAACCCUCCUAACAACAUGCCUAAAAAGUACAAAGUUUGUUUUGCCCCUCCUCCUCCUUCUACUGAUGUAAUACCUUGCUCUCUAGAGUGCCUCAUCGACCAAGGCACCCAAAGGCGUAAGCAAGUCCUUGCCAACAUGCUUUUUUUUAUUAAGUCAAGCAAAAUUUUCCCUAGAGCCACACAAAAAACACCUGAACCUUCUUCCGACCCAACUCUUAAAACUAUCGAGCAAUCACUCAUUCCCAUCACCGAUGUUAUUCUAACCACUACUUUUAUUACUUCAACUCCUCUUUCUCCCCCCAUUUCCUUCAACGUUCACCCUUCUAACGCUCUAUUACAACAGUUGCAAGCCUUCUCUAUUGACACUGCCACAUUCUUUCCCAGUGACUAUAGCAGUGGCAUUAUCGAAUAGAGGCUUUUCACUCUUUCAAAUUUAUCACUCCCUCGUGAUUCUCUACUUGAUCCUUCAGGGUCUCAAAAAUCUUAUGCUAGCACUACCUCUUCUGACUUAGCCCCUGAUGUCACUUCUGCGACUUUGACAGCUGCUCUCCAGGCUGUUAUCACUGCUUCCCUAUCCAUCAUGACUCAUUCAUCCCCCCUUGUAACCAAUUUUGAGGCUGAAUUGGUUACUACUGGGGCAACAGCUUCAGCAUUCACGAAUCCAAGAUGACUUACAGGCCUCUAAAACAAUCUUCUUAAGAGAACUUGAAGACAAAGUGGCUUCUCUAACAGUAGAGAUGAAGAAUAUCGAAAGCUCUUGGAAAGACCGAAAUACUACUAGAGCUGAUGAGCUGAAAACUCUGAAAGAUGCAUUACUGGAAGCAGAGAAAAGUACUCAAAACUUGAAGCGAAGCUGACCGAGUCAUUGAUGGGACUUGGUAAGGCCCAAAGUAUCAUAUCCGCUUCUACCAAUGAAAGGCUCAUGCUUCUGAAGCCCAUAAGCUUUCUCUCUCUCUCUCUCGCCUGCUUUCUACCCGAGCCCGACGCCGAUUCUCUGCUCGCCACUGACCGACACACGUGCGGCCAGGAAGAUCCACCAAGCGCUGAUUGUUGUCCUAUCAGGCCCCGCAAGGCCAACACCCCACGACACCCUAUGUCAUUAAACGAGCCAAUCAAGUUUGACCUUCCUUCACUUUCCAAAGAGAUUUCGAUCGAACUAUUUUUGUAAUGAAUAGUUGGGAUGUGAACUUUUCAUUUGUGUAAUUUUUGUGAACCAAAGAUCCAAACAAAUAAGUAUUGCAUAUAUUUGAUUCUCUUUCCUACUUGUUACAUCACACUUUUAUCCUUUCUUAAUUUGUAAUCUUUAAAUUUCAAAAACAAGAAAUAUACCAAUUCUUCUAUUUUUUCACAAA